rnacentral:rRNA from 1 species
ACUUAAAUUGAAGAGUUUGAUCAUGGCUCAGAUUGAACGCUGGCGGCAGGCCUAACACAUGCAAGUCGAGCGGUAGCACAGAGAGCUUGCUCUCGGGUGACGAGCGGCGGACGGGUGAGUAAUGUCUGGGAAACUGCCUGAUGGAGGGGGAUAACUACUGGAAACGGUAGCUAAUACCGCAUAAC